rnacentral:rRNA from 1 species
UACGUAGGAGGCAAGCGUUGUCCGGAAUUACUGGGCGUAAAGCGCGUGUAGGUGGUGGGACAAGUCUGCUGUGAAAGCGCCUGGCUUAACCGGGCGAGGUCGGCGGAAACUGUCCGACUCGAGGACGGUAGAGGGGGGUGGAAUUCCCGGUGUAGUGGUGAAAUGCGUAGAGAUCGGGAGGAACACCUGUGGCGAAGGCGGCCCCCCUGGGCCGGCC